CACAGCAUUCCCAAUGGCAUCGGCAGCAUGGUCCUCCACGGUCUCCUCAGGUAGGUCCUCCACGGUCUCCUCAGGUAGGUUCUUCUCAGCCUCCUCAGGUAGAUCCUCCUCAGGUAGAUCCUCCUCAGGUAAGUCCUCCUCAGGUAGGUCUUCCUCAGGUAGGUCCUCAGGUAGGUCCUCCUCAGGUAGGUCCUCCUCAGGUAGGUCCUCCUCAGGUAGGUCCUCCUCAGGUAGGUCCUCCUCAGGUAGGUCCUCCUCAGGUAGGUCCUCCUCAGGUAGGUCUUCCUCAGGUAGGUCUUCCUCAGCCUCCUCAGGUAGGUCCUCCUCGGGUAGGUCCUCCUCAGCCAGGUCCUCCUCAGCUUCCUCAGGUAGGUCCUCCUCAGCCUCCCCAGGUAGG